UUUCAUGCCCUCUGAGACAUCCAUAAAAUUGGAACGAUAUAUAGAAGAUUAACAUGGCGCGUACGCAAGAAUAACACAAACAAAUAGAGAAAUGAUCCGAAUUUAA